CGUUGUCAAGAGCAUUAGUCCUCGCAAACAAAACAAAUGAAAAACAGUCACUACUUAUUACUUAAAAUUCAAAUCAGCAUAAUUUAAAAUAGACAAAACAUAGCAUAAGCCAUUGUCUAAUAAUACCUAAUUAACUUGAGCUUGAAGUUGAACCCGGGUAACUUCAUGUUCAAGUUAACUACGGUUCAAGAUAAAUGUACAAAAUUUAAACUAAUUUUUACAUACCUUAAUAUUUACAAGUGUGGAAAUACGUAUUUGAGAGUACCUGGACCUAGGCAUCGGUAUUAGCGUGGUACAUCCAAUCGAGUCCGUUAGUCAAGAGCAUUAGUCCUCGCAAACAAAACAAAUAAAAAACUGUCACUACGUAUUACUUAAAAUUCAAAUCAACAUACUUUGAAAUAGACAAAACAUAACAUAAUCCAUUGUCUAAUAAUACCUAAUUAACUUGAGCUUGAAGUUGAACUCGGGUAACUUCAAGUCCAAGUUAAUUACGGUUCAAGAUAAAUGUACGAAAUUUAAAGUAACUUUUACGUACCUCAAUAUUUAAAAGUGUGGAGAUACGUAUUUGAGAAUACCUGGGCUUAGGCAUCGGUAUUAGCGUUGUACAUCCAAUCGAGUCCGUUAGCCAAGAGUAUUAAUUCUCGCAAACCAAAUAAACGAAAAACAAUCACUACUUAUUACUUAAAAUUCUAAUCGCAUAAUUUAAAAUAGGACCAAAGAACCUUUAAUAGCAUGUCUACAUAAUUACCUACUUACUUGAGCCUGGAAGUGAACCCGGGUAACUUCAAGGUCAAGUUUAUUACUGUUCAAGAUAAAUGUACAAAAUUUAAAGUAAUAUUUACGUACCUCAAUAUUUAAAAGUGUGGAGAUACAUAUUUGAGAGUACUUGGGCCUAGGCAUCGGUAUUAGCGUGGUACAUCCAAUCGAGUUCGUUAGUCAAGAGCAUUAGUCCUCGCAAACAAAAUAAAUAAAAAACAGUCACUACUUACUACUUAAAAUUCAAAUCAGUAUAAUUUGAAAUAGACAAAAUAUAACAUAAACUAUUGUGUAAAAAACAUACAUAACUUGACCUGAAGUUGAAACCGGGUAACUUAAGGUCAAGUUUAUUACUGUUAAAGAUAAAUGUACAAAAUUUAAAGUAAUAUUUCUACCUCAAUAUUUAAAAGUGUGAGAUACGUAUUGGAGAGUUAUGGGCCAGGCCAUCGGUAUUAGCGUGGUACAUCCAAUUGAAUCCGUUAGGCAGAGCGUAUAGUCCUCGCCAAACAAAAUAAAUGAAAAACAAUCUCUACUUAUUACUAAAAAUUCCAAAUCAGCAUAUUUAAAUAAACAAAACAUAAAAUAAGCCAUUGUCUAAUAGUACUAAUUAACUUGAGCCUUAAUUGAACCGGGUAACGUCAAGUUCAAGUUAAUUACGGUUCAAGAUAAAUGUACAAUAUGUAAAAUAAUUUUUUACAACCUAAUAUUUAAAAGUGUUGGAGAUACGUAUUUGAGAUACCUGGGCAUAGGCAUCGGUAUUAGCGUGGUACAUCCAAUCGAUUCCAUAGUCAAGAGCAUUAUCCUCGCAAACAAGAAAAAUUAAAAAACAAUCACUAACUUAUUACUAAAAUUCAAAUCAAGCCCUACGUGAAAAUAGACAAACCAUACACAUAAGCCAUUGUAUAAUAAUACCAGUUAACUUGAGCUUGAGUUGAACCCGGUUAACUUCAUGCUCCAGUAAUUACGGUUCAGAUAAAGUAAAAAAAUUAAUGAAUUUUUAUGUUCUUCAAAUUUAAAAGUGUGGAGAUAUGUAUUUGAGGAGUACUGUGGCCUAGGCAUUCGUAUUAGGCGUGGACAAUCCAAUCGAGUCCGUUGUCAAUACAUUAGUUCAUCGCAAAACAAAACAAAUGAAAAACAGUUCACUACUAUUUACUUAAAAUUCCAAAUCAGCAUAAUAAAUAGACAAACAUAACAUAAAGCCCAUUGUCUAAUUAAUAACUUGAGCUUAAGUUGAAACCCGGUAACUCAUGUUCAAGUAACUACGGUUUAAGAUAAAUGUACAAAAUUUAAACAAUUUUUACAUCCUUAAUAUUACAAGUGUGGAAAUACGUAUUUGAGAGUACCUUGGCAUACGCAUCAGUAUUAGCGUGGUACAUCCAAUCGAGUUCAUUAGUCAAGAGCAUUAGUCCUCGCAAACAAAAAAAAUUAAAAAACAGUCACUACUUACUACUUAAAAUUCAAAUCAAUAUAAUUCGAAAUAGACAAACAUAACAUAAACCAUUGUGUAAUAAAACAUAAUUAACUUGAGUUUGAACUUGAACCCGGGUAACUUCAAGUUCAAGUUAAUUACGGUUCAAGAUAAAUGUACAAAAUUUAAAGUAAUUGUUACAUACCUCAAUAUUUAAAAGUGUGGAGAUACAUAUUUGAGAAUACCUAGGCCUAGGCAUCGCUAUUAGCGUGGUACAUGCAAUCAAGUCUAUUAGUCAAGAUCAUGAGGCCUCGCAAAAAAAUAUAAAAAAGUCACCACGUAUUACCCCAAAAUUCAAAUACGUAAAAUUUAAAAUAGACAAAAUAGAACGUAAGGCAUUGUCUAAAAUCACCUAAUUAACUUGAGUUUGAAAUUGAACCCAGAGUACUUCAAGGUCAAGUUUAUUACGGUUUAAGAUAAAUGUACAAAAUUUUAAGUAAUGUUGUUUACGUACCUCAAUAUUUAGUAAGUGUGGAAUGACGUAUUUGACAGUACAUGGCCUAGGGCAUGGCUAUAGCUGGUACAUGCCAAGUCGAGUCAAUUGGUCAAGAAGUAUUAGUUUUUCGCAAAACAAAAGUAAAUGAAAAACAGUCAUUUUUUUUGUGUUUUGGGUUCCUACUUAUUAACUUAAAAUUAAAGUUAUAUAAUUUAAAAUAGACAAAACAUAACAGUAAGCUCAUUUUCUAAUAAUAUCUAAUUAACUUGAUUUGAAAGUUGAACUCGGAAGUAGCUUCAAGUUAAGGUUAAUUCCAGUGGCAAGAAAAAUUGUACAGAAAUUUAAAGUAAUUUUGUACGUACCUCAAUAUUUAAAAGUGUGAGAUACAUGUUGGGAUUACCUGGCCCAUAGGGCAUCGGUAUGUAUCUUGGUACAUCCAAGUCGAUCCGUUAGGUCAAGAGCAUUAGUCCUCGCAACAAAGAUAAAUGAAAAACAGGUCACUACUUACUACUUAAAAUUUCGAAUCAGUAUAAUUGUAAUAGACAAAACAUCAUAAACCAGUGUGGUAAUUAAAACUUAAUUAACUGUGAGGCCUCGAAAUUGUGAACCCGGGCAACUUUCAAGGUCAAGUUUAUUUACGGUUCAAUAUAAAUGUACAAAAUUUAACUAAUUUUUACGACCUCAAUAUUUAAAAGUGUGGAGAUCGUAUUUGAGAGUACCUGGCCUAGACCAUCGGUAUUAGCGUGGUACAUCCAAUUGAGUGCCGGUAGUCAAGAGCAUUAGUUCUCGUAAAACAAAACAACGAAAAUUGUCACUACUUUUACUAAAAUUCAAUCAGCAUAAUUUCAAAUAGACAAAACAUAAAAUAAGUCAUCGUCUAAUAAAACGUAAUUAACUUGAGGUUAAAGUUGAACCCGGGAAACUUCAAGUUCAAGUUAAUUACAGUUCAAGAUAAAUGUACAAAAUUUUAAGUAAUUUUUACGUACCUCAAUAUUUAAAAGUGUGGGCAUACAUAUUUGAGAAUACCUGGGCCUAGGCAUCAGUAUUAGCGUGGUACAUCCAAUCGAGUCCGUUAGUCAAGAGUAUUAGUCCUCGCAAACAAAAUAAAUGAAAAACAGUCACUACUUAUUACUUAAAAUUCAAAUCAGUUAAUUUGAAAUAGACAAAUAUAAUAUAAACUAUUGUGUAAUAAAACAUAAUUAACUUGAAGCUUGAAGUUGAACCCGGUACCUUCAAGUCAAGUUAAUUACGGUUCAAGAUAACGUACAAAAUUAAAGUAAUUUUACGACCUCACUAGUUAAAAGUGUGGAGAUACGUAUUUGAAUACUUGGGCUUAGGCAUCGUAUUAGCGUGGUAGCAUCAAUCGAGCCGUAGUCAAGACAUUAGUCCUCGCAAACAAAAAUAAAUAAAAACAUCAUUUACUUAUUACUAAAAAUUCAAAUCAGCAUAAUUUAAAAUAAACAAAACAUAAAAUAACCAUUGUCUAAUAUUACCUAAUUAAAUUGAGCCUGAAGUUGAACCCGGGUAACUUCAAGUUCAAGUUAAUUACGGUUCAAGAUAAAUGUACAAUAUUUAAAAUAAUUUUUACAUACCUCAAUAUUUAAAAGUGUGGAGAUACGUAUUUGAGAGUACCUGGGCCUAGGCAUCGGUAUUAGCGUGGUACAUCCAAUCGAGUCCGUUAGUCAAGAGCAUUAGUCCUCG
rnacentral:lncRNA from 1 species